rnacentral:rRNA from 1 species
GCACAGCGGUGGAGCAUGUGGUUUAAUUCGACGCAACGCGAAGAACCUUACCAGGGCUUGACAUCCCCUGACCGCGUAUGAAAGUACGUUUUCACCCUCGGGUGACAGGGAGACAGGUGGUGCAUGGUUGUCGUCAGCUCGUGUCGUGAGAUGUUGGGUUAAGUCCCGCAACGAGCGCAACCCCUACGUUUAGUUGCUAACGCGUGAAGGCGAGCACUCUAGACGAACUGCCGUUGACAAAACGGAGGAAGGUGGGGAUGACGUCAAAUCAUCAUGCCCCUUAUGUUCUGGGCUACACACGUGCUACAAUGGCCGGUACAGACGGACGCAAAGCCGCGAGGUGGAGCAAAUCCUAAAAAGCCGGUCUCAGUUCGGAUUGCAGGCUGCAAUUCGCCUGCAUGAAGUCGGAAUCGCUAGUAACCGUAAAUCAGCACGUUACGGUGAAUACGUUCCCGGGUCUU